ACUUAAUAUCGACAGUUAUCUUUUAUCAGAUUUUUAUUCAGAGUACUCUUGGCACCCACACUAGAAGCUUCAAAAACCACUCCGACUAGUGGAGGUAACAAUAAGGGCAGCACUCCCCAUGGUAAAAAGAAUGAUGCUGCUACGUCUGUUGCUUCGUUCUUUAUGAUCGAGAUGAGUUGUCUGCCCUUACUGAAUGCCUGAUUACAGUGAGGUUUAGAUUGAGGUGACCACGGACGCCAUAAAGUUGAUGUCACUUGAACUGUGCUAUAUACUAUUUGUAGUGUUGCUGUGAUACACUAUAAUGUGCUUCUAAACUUUACCAAUCAGUAUGUCACAAAUCAAAAGUCAGUAGUAUACAUAAUUGAAUGCAAUAAUUUAUGUAAAAACGUAAAACGUUAUCAGUGCUGUUCUGCUGCAUUAAAAAUAUGAACAUAAA